rnacentral:SRP_RNA from 1 species
CCGUGCUAGGCGGGGAGCUCGUGGUGCCCUGUACCCCCAAUCCACGUGUGGGGGGCUGAAUCCCCUCCCGAGGCCCGGGCCGCCGUGGGGAAGGCGCCUCGCCGUCGACGUCGAGGGCCGGGUCCUGCGCAACGGGAUCCCGUGAACCGAGUCAGGUCCGGAAGGAAGCAGCUCUCAGCGGGUGCUCCCGUGUGCCGCAGGGUCGCCUGGUCUGAGCCGGCGGCGGGACCCGCGCCCCGUGGCGCCAGGUCGACGGCGGGUGCACGG